rnacentral:rRNA from 1 species
UGGGGAAUUGUUCGCAAUGGGCGCAAGCCUGACGACGCAACGCCGCGUGGAGGAUGAAGGUCUUCGGAUUGUAAACUCCUGUUGCCCGGGACGAAUGGCUCCAACCUAAUACGUUGGAGUGUGACGGUACCGGGUGAGGAAGCCCCGGCUAACUCUGUGCCAGCAGCCGCGGUAAUACAGAGGGGGCAAGCGUUGUUCGGAAUUACUGGGCGUAAAGGGCGCGUAGGCGGCCUGCUAAGUCGAACGUGAAAUCCCUGGGCUCAACCCAGGAACUGCGUCCGAUACUGGUUGGCUUGAAUCCGGGAGAGGGAUGUGGAAUUCCAGGUGUAGCGGUGAAAUGCGUAGAUAUCUGGAGGAACACCGGUGGCGAAGGCGACAUCCUGGACCGGUAUUGACGCUGAGGCGCGAAAGCCAGGGGAGCAAACGGGAUUAGAUACCCGGUAGUCCUGGCCCUAAACGAUGAAUGCUUGGUGUGGCGGGUAUCGAUCCCUGCCGUGCCGAAGCUAACG